rnacentral:rRNA from 1 species
UACGAAGGGUGCAAACGUUGCUCGGAAUCAUUGGGCGUAAAGCGCACGUAGGCGGCUUCGCAAGUCGGAUGUGAAAUCCCUCGGCUCAACCAAGGACGUGCAUUCGAAACUGCGGAGCUUGAGUAUGGAAGAGGGUCGCGGAAUUCCCGGUGUAGAGGUGAAAUUCGUAGAUAUUCGGAAGAACACCAGUGGCGAAGGCGACUCACUGGACAUGUAUUGACGCUGAGGUGCGAAAGCGUGGGGAGCAAACAGG